AUUGAACGCUGGCGGAAUGCUUUACACAUGCAAGUCGAACGGUAGAGGGGGCAACCCCUUGAGAGUGGCGAACGGGUGAGUAAUAUAUCGGAACGUGCCCAGUCGUGGGGAUAACGUAGCGAAAGUUACGCUAAUACCGCAUACGAUCUACGGAUGAAAGCGGGGGACUCGCAAGAGCCUCGCGCGAUUGGAGCGGCCGAUAUCAGAUUAGGUAGUUGGUGGGGUAAAGGCUCACCAAGCCAACGAUCUGUAGCUGGUCUGAGAGGACGACCAGCCACACUGGAACUGAGACACGGUCCAGACUCCUACGGGAGGCAGCAGUGGGGAAUUUUGGACAAUGGACGCAAGUCUGAUCCAGCCAUUCCGCGUGCAGGAUGAAGGCCCUCGGGUUGUAAACUGCUUUUGUACGGAACGAAAAGGUUUCUAUUAAUACUAGGAGCUCAUGACGGUACCGUAAGAAUAAGCACCGGCUAACUACGUGCCAGCAGCCGCGGU
rnacentral:rRNA from 1 species